rnacentral:rRNA from 1 species
CGUGUAGGCGGCCUGUUAAGUCAGAUGUGAAAGCCCGGGGCUCAACCCCGGAAGUGCAUUUGAUACUGGCGGGCUUGAGUGCGGGAGAGGAAAGCGGAAUUCCCAGUGUAGAGGUGAAAUUCGUAGAUAUUGGGAGGAACACCGGUGGCGUAGGCGGCUUUCUGGACCGACACUGACGCUGAGACGCGAAAGCGUGGGGAGCAAACA